GGUCCGCUGGCUUAAUUGGCAAAGCGUCUGACUACGACUCAGUAGAUCAUCAGGAGAUUCCAGGUUCGAGCCCUGGGUGGAUCG